AUGAAACCUUUGAUUCAAAGAACUGCGCUUAGCCCCCCCCCCCCGCUCAUGAAACGACUCUGCUGCAAUGGAUGGCAGAGGGUCCGUAGUACCCGAAGCACUGGAGUGAUCUAGUAGGCGGGAAGGGGCCUAGAAGUGCCUACUACUACACCACACCACACUUGGCUCUGUACAUUUACAGAGCUUACCCCUGUCCAGUGUCUGGCAGAAUGUUGGGGGCUUCAAUCGUCGACUCGGUAUCCCCAUCUUAGCCCAGGCUAA
rnacentral:rRNA from 1 species